rnacentral:rRNA from 1 species
AGCGAACGUUUGCGGCGGGCUUAACACAUGCAAGUCGAACGAGAAUCCCUUCGGGGAGGAAAGUGGCGCACGGGUGCGUAACACGUGGAUAACCAACCCAUUGGUUUGGGACAACACCGGGAAACUGGUGCUAAUACCAGAUGUGUCGCAGCUGUCUUCAGGCGGUUGCGAGAAAGGCCCGCAAGGGUCGCCAACGGACGGGUCCGCGUCCCAUCAGCUAGUUGGUGAGGUAAUGGCUCACCAAGGCAAAGACGGGUAGCUGGUCUGAGAGGAUGAUCAGCCACACUGGAACUGAGACACGGUCCAGACUCCUACGGGAGGCAGCAGUGGGGAAUAUUGCGCAAUGGGCGAAAGCCUGACGCAGCCGCGCCGCGUGAGCGAUGAUGGUCUUCGGAUCGUAAAGCUCUGUGGGGGGAGAAGAAGAAAGCCGGUGAAGAGCCGGCCCUGACGGUAUCCCCUUAGCAAGCACCGGCUAACUCCGUGCCAGCAGCCGCGGUAAAGU